GGGCUGUAAUUGUGGCUCUUGUGUGAUGUUUUUACCCUGUGUGUGUGUGUGUGUGUGUGUGUGUGUGUGUCGUCCUCCCCUCUGCUGAGGAAAGGGGACAGUCUUCCAGCUGAUAGCAGAAUUCAGGUCGACACCGCAUCAUUUCUGCCUCAUGCAUCAAUUCAUGUUGUUACUCCUGUGACCAGAGAAAGUGAAAUAUUCCUCCAUAUUAAAACACGCUGCUAAAAAUAACAACAACAAUCUUAUCGGAAACACUUUGCAAUACUCAGUAUUACAGCUGCAGUGGAAGUACAGUAGGGAGAACCCACAUUUUAAGGCUUGACAGUGUUGACAGCGCUGAGUAACUACUGAAACACAAACUCACUCAUAAAAAUAAAUAAAAAACAGCAGCUCUUUGAAAUCUCACAGUAUCAACUUUUGUCGUUCGAGGUUUUUUUUUUUUUUUUUUUUUAACAGUCUAUGUCUCCAGGAAACCGUCCAGACACGGUGAUCUGAGCUAUCUGAUUGGACAGCGGUGGGCCUAUCGGUGCACUUGAUUUGCUCUCUGGGCCUACCGCCAACAACGAGAGCACCUAACGCCAACAACCCCUGCUCUAAACUGUGGUGUGUGUAGUGUCAUUGAUGCUAGUGGACAGAACGCUCUAGGCUAUUUCAGAUCAAACUCACUACUACUGACGGACGGUCUGGUGACAGCGCCAGGUGUUGGUAGUAAAACCAGGUCACUGAGGUCUCUGUUGUCUGUAUUGGAGAGAGGAGCAGUAGUAAAACCAGGUCACUGAGGUCUCUGUUGUCUGGAGGAGAGAGGAGCAGUAGUUAGAAUCAGUACUGGGGUAUCUGUUGUCUGUAUUGGAGAGAGGAGCAGUAGUUAGAAUCAGUACUGAGGUCUCUGUUGUCUGUAUUAGAGAGGAGCAGUAGUUAGAAUCAGUACUGAGGUAUCUGUUGUCUGUAUUGGAGAGAGGAGCAGUAGUUAGAAUCAGUACUGAGGUCUCUGUUGUCUGUAUUAGAGAGGAGCAGUAGUUAGAAUCAGUACUGGGGUAUCUGUUGUCUGUAUUAGAGAGGAGCAGUAGUUAGAAUCAGUACUGAGGUCUCUGUUGUCUGGAGGAGAGAGGAGCAGUAGUUAGAAUCAGUACUGAGGUCUCUGUUGUCUGGAGGAGAGAGGAGCAGUAGUUAGAAUCAGUACUGAGGUCUCUGUUGUCUGUAUUAGAGAGGAGCAGUAGUUAGAAUCAGUACUGAGGUCUCUGUUGUCUGUAUUAGAGAGGAGCAGUAGUUAGAAUCAGUGGCUGCUGCUUGUUGUGAUGAAAGUAGCCCUGUAUGUGUGUGUGUUGUGUGUACAGCUGUGACCCACAUGACCUCACCACUUCCCCUCUCUGCUCUCUUGGUUGGAGGAGAGAGAGGCUCUCAGCUGGUGACUGACUGCUAGGUGCUCAGACGUGGCCUGUCUGUGAGUAGAGAGAAGCUCUCAGCUGGUGACUGACUGCUGGCUGCUCAGACGUGGCCUGUCUGUGAGAAGAGAGAAGCUCUCAGCUGGUGACUGACUGCUGGCUGCUCAGACGUGGCCUGUCUGUUAGUAGAGAGGCUCUCAGCUGGUGACUGACUUCUGGCUGCUCAGACGUGGCCUGUCUGUGAGAAGAGAGAAGCUCUCAGCUGGUGACUGACUUCUGGCUGCUCAGACGUGGCCUGUCUGUGAGAAGAGAGAAGCUCUCAGCUGGUGACUGACUGCUGGCUGCACAGACGUGGAUAGUUCUGUCACAAAAACGGUGUUAACUGAGUUAACUAGCAAAUGUGCCGACUCUGGUCUUGGUAUGUGAGCUCUGGCCAACAGCUCCUAGAUAAAGUAUCCGUAAGUUAGUCUAAAUGAUGAGAUUAUUAUGGAUAAGAGCUAAAUUAUUUUUUAUUUGUCAAACAGCAGUCAAGCAUCGAUCGUCAAGACACCAGUAUAAAACCCUAGAUAUUUAUUUCAAAGGAGCAUUAAGAUCAC
rnacentral:lncRNA from 1 species